UACGGGGGGGGCAAGCGUUGUUCGGAAUUACUGGGCGUAAAGGGUUUGUAGGUGGCUCGCUAAGUCAGACGUGAAAUCCCUCAGCUUAACUGGGGAACUGCGUCUGAGACUGGCAAGCUUGAGUGCAGGAGAGGAACGCGGAAUUCCAGGUGUAGCGGUGAAAUGCGUAGAUAUCGGGAAGAACACCCGUGGCGAAGGCGGUUCUCUGGGACGGUACUGACGCUGAGACGCGAAAGCGUGGGGAGCGAACAGG
rnacentral:rRNA from 1 species